rnacentral:rRNA from 1 species
CUCAAUGAUAUUAAAUAGCCGCAAUGUCUUUUGCGCUAAGGUAGCAUAAUCAUUUGUUUUUUAAUUAAAAACUAGAACGAAAGAUUUAACAUUUUUAUAACUUUCCCAUAUAUAACAAUUUAAUUUAUUUUAAAUAUUAAAAAAUAUUUAUACAUAAAAAAGACGACAAGACCCUAUUAAACUUCACUAAAGUUUAACUGGGGCAGUUAAUUAAACAUCAUUUUAAUUUAAAUUUCAAAAAAACCUAAUAUAAUUAAAAUAACCAAGUUACUAUAGGGAUAACAGCGCAAUAAAUUUCAAAAGAUCUCAUUUAAAAAUAAGUUUGCGACCUCGAUGUUGAAUUAAUAAUCUAUUAAAUGCAACAAUUUAACAAGAAAGUCUGUUCGACUU